GGUACUACCAAUCCCAGAUUGCCUUUCGCCCCUCGAUGCAUGCUGGGACCUCUCGACUCGCGGGCAGUGGCUGAUGGAACGAAGCCGCUUUGCAUGCUGGGAAUCGUAGUUCUUACGGUAUCGCAAGCUUCCUCUACUGGUCAUUGUUUUAACUGUCGCUGUUAGCGCCAGUUCUCCUGGAUAUGAUUUUACGGUUUAGAACUUUGGUUUUGGGAUCUAGAUUAGUCGCCUGGUUCUAAAAAGAAAGACAUGCUUUACAGAUCCUCACCCCAAAACAAUGGAAGCCAGAGGCCUGGAGCACGGACUCCAUGCCUGGUAGUAAGGCUAGAAACUGGUGAAAAAGAUAGAUGUGGUCCCUCCCAUAAUGGAGUGCACAUUCUCAUGGAGAAGACAGAUAAUAAAGAGUGAAAAGAAGAUUGAUAAACAGAAUAAUCUCAGCAUGUGAGAAAAGCUCUGCAGGGAAGAAUGCAAGAGGCCCCGAUACCAGACAAGCAGAGAAGGGCUGCUCUAGCAUGGGAUACAAAGAAGCAGCCAGUCUUAUCAUAAAUCUUGCCUUUAAGGCCAUAUGAGCUUUAGUAAAUUGAAGGAAUAAAGAAUGGAGUCUUACAGUCUUUAUUAAUAAAAACAAUUUAAGGGAAGACACACAACUGCUAAUGAAACAUUAUCAUUUUUUUUGCUGGAAGAGUUUAACAUUACAAUUCCCAGAAUUUCCCUUGAAUUAGAUGAAUUGAACAUGAAAAGGAGAGUUGUGGCCAGGCAUGGCAGCUCACGCCUGUAAUCCUAGCACUCUGGGAGGCCGAGGAAGGAGGAUUGCUUGAGGUCAGGAG